CCCGCUCAGCAACUCAAUGAUUGGACGGGGCCCGCACAAGCGGUGGAGUAUGUGGUUUAAUUCGAUGCAACGCGAAGACCUUACCUGGUCUUGACAUCCCGGAGACCCUUAGGAAACUAGGGGGUGCUUCCAUCUGGAAGAAUCUGGAGACAGGUGCUGCAUGGCUGUCGUCAGCUCGUGUCGUGAGAUGUUGGGUUAAGUCCCGCAACGAGCGCAACCCUUGCCUUUAGUUGCCAGCAGUUCGGCUGGGCACUCUAAAGGGACUGCCGGUGUUAAACCGGAGGAAGGUGGGGAUGACGUCAAGUCCUCAUGGCCUUUAUGACCAGGGCUACACACGUACUACAAUGGCCGAUACAAAGGGCAGCGACACUGCGAGGUGAAGCCAAUCCCGUAAAAUCGGUCUCAGUCCGGAUUGGAGUCUGCAACUCGACUCCAUGAAGUUGGAAUCGCUAGUAAUCGUGGAUCAGCAUGCCACGGUGAAUACGUUCCCGGGCCUU
rnacentral:rRNA from 1 species